ensembl:lncRNA
GUUUUCAUGUAGGUUCGGGUUUAAUUGAGUCUGUCAGGAUGACACGUGACCUACCUGAGCUCGACAGGACAGGUAGGUUCACAUAGUUUCGCUCCAGUGAAUGUUGAAAGAGGCGCGAUCGAGACUCACUGUUACUGUUGCGCGACUCAAAACGGGUCGCUGCGCUUAUUUAGCUAGACUAUUUAUUUGUGUGAAAUAAGUUUGGUGAGUGGUUUAUUUCGUCCACACGUUUCCUGUAAGCCUCUCAGAGAACCUCACAGCCGAAAUGGAUGGCGAUUCACUGUUUGGUGUCUCAGGUCUGAUCAUGGAGAAUGGGAUCAGCAGCAUCUCCUGGAAUCCUUUCUAUUCAAACCCACAGAGUCCAGCGAAUGGAGAUCAAGAUGCUAUCGAUACAAUCAGAGAAAAUCAUUCUGAUCAGGACUAUGAUGUGAAAACAGAGAACAAUAUGUUGCCAAACAUGACGAGUUUAACCAAAACUCACCAGCCGGCUGAGUUUUCAGACCAUCCUUUUCCAGCUUCAGACGGGGUUUUGUUUUCUCCGCCUGAUUUUUAUAAAGACGACACGCCGAUUGGCUUCCGAAGCACGUCAGCGGCAGGCACACGGAGUGAAGAGACAGACAUUUUCCAGCCUUUUAAAGAGAAGGCAGACACUGAUGUGACACACAGCAGCUCAGCCAAUCAGAACGCAGAAUCCUGGCCUUCGUCCAAUCAGAGGGAUCCCCUCCUGGAAUUCAUCCUCUCCAGAGGGAAGAACUUCCCAGCUCCACCAUCUGAAACCAUCAGCGUUCUCCAAGAAACCUCCACUAAAGCGGACGGUUUCCUCAAAACUCCUUCAGUGUCCACCUCGCCGUUCGUUUCUAAAACCAACGAUAUUUUCAAGACAUCCUCGUCCAGCGCAGGAUCCAAGGUCCCCGACAUCCAGUCGUUCGAUCCUCUGUUCGCCCCUCAGGAUGAAGUUCAGUGCACUCAGAAGAGCGCUGAUCUACUGUUCACCCGUCAGGAGGACGCUGCUGCGUCUCACGGUCAAGAGACGCCAGCUUUAGCAACACCUUCCACAAGCAUCUCAAAUGGAGAUCUGAUGUUCAGGAGGCGUCCGCCCAGAGCUGCUCCCCGCAGUAAACCCCCGAAGCGCCUCCUCCAGCCUCCUGCUCUCUCUCAGAUCACGUCGCCUGUGGUGGAGAGAGAUCCGCUGGUUUAUGAGGACGUUCUUCUCAUCGGUCAGGAGAAUUGUGUGGAGGACUGGCCUGAACACAGUCCAGAACUUUCUCCAGAAUGGAAACCAGCUGGCAAGCUCAGGCUUCGCAGAGACUCUGUACGGAUUUCAGACGCGUCUGAUGGAGGCGGUGAUGGGCAUCUGAAGAAGAACGGGAAGCAGACUCUGGGAAGGAAACUGAGACACUCGCUGCUGAUCAGGAGGAGCUCAAAGGAUAAAACUGGAGAUGAAGUGAAGAGCUCAGAGACGAACACACACUCACUGAAUCGAGGCUCAAAGCUCAUUAACGGCACGGAUAAGUUUUUCGCUCCAGAUGAAGAAGAGCAGAAUGAAGCUGCGGAGUAUAAAUCGAAGAAACCAUCAAAACCCAAGAUUAUUACACACCGCAGAGGCUCUAAGGUGAAAUCUGCUGAAGCUUCAGACUAUAAGGAUGAUUUAACUUCCUCAUGGAAACACGCUGAUCUCGAGGCUUUGAGAGAGAAGAAAGCAGACGAUGUGGACUGCAAACCGAAGCAGCCACAUAAAUUCAAGCCUCCUGUACCACACCUACCAUCAAAGGAAAACUUUGCAGUUGGUCUGAAAUCAAUGAAUGGUCCUCCACUGAUGGAAUCAAAGUCCUUCUCCAAAGAUCCCUUUCUGGAAGGAGAUCUGGAUCUUGGCGCUUCAGUCCGUGACAGUCAUCAGACAGCAGAGAUCGACACACAUCCGGAUGAUGAAGAGCGAAACGCAGAGGAGACUGAUGGACAGAAAUCGAAAAAGAAAGUGCGAGUUAAGUUUGUUCCACACCGAGGGUUUGUCAUCGGUUUAUCCAGGGUUGACAAGGCUAAUAAUAAAACCAAGGAGGAAAUACCACAUCUGAAGGAGCUGAAGGGAGCUUGUGGAUUCACUCCUCAUCCUCAUCUGAAGGGUGAUGAGGGGUUUGAUGAUCUGAAGGGAGCGUUUGGUUACGACUUCAAGGGAGACACGUUACUGAAAGCUGACGCUGGACAGAGUUACUCACCCAACCAUGUUCAGAGUUCAUAUUUUAAUGGCUUUACGAGUCCAGCAUGGGAUUCAAAGGCAGAUCUGGAGACAGACGUCCACAAAGCCUCGGAUCUCUUCACAGCUUCAGACGCCAGUGAGGGACAUCAGAAGAAAUCAAUAAAGUUUAAAGUCCUUCGCCUGCAUCGCAGACAGUCAAAGAGUUUUGAAGAUCCUGAGAUCAAGCAGAGCAAAGAUUCAGAGGUAAACAAACCUGUCAUUUCACUUCCUCACGAUUCAAAUACUUAUCAAAUUUUCACGGUCUUAUUUAUGUUUUUAUGUUAUUUCUCAAUCUUUUUUUUAUUUUAUUUCCCUUUAGAUUUUGUUUCUUUAAUUUCCAAAUAUUAC